AUAUGAUGAUGAUGGUGAUGGUGAUGAUGAUGAUGGUGGUGGUGGUGGUGAUCGCUACCACCAUCAUCAACAUCAUCAUCAUCAACAACG
rnacentral:pre_miRNA from 1 species